AGAGUUUGAUCCUGGCUCAGAACGAACGCUGGCGGCAGGCCUAACACAUGCAAGUCGAGCGUGACCUUCGGGUCUAGCGGCGGACGGGUUAGUAACGCGUGGGAACGUGCCCUUCUCUGCGGAAUAGCCACUGGAAACGGUGAGUAAUACCGCAUACGCCCUUCGGGGGAAAGAUUUAUCGGAGAAGGAUCGGCCCGCGUUAGAUUAGAUAGUUGGUGGGGUAACGGCCUACCAAGUCUACGAUCUAUAGCUGGUUUUAGAGGAUGAUCAGCAACACUGGGACUGAGACACGGCCCAGACUCCUACGGGAGGCAGCAGUGGGGAAUCUUAGACAAUGGGCGCAAGCCUGAUCUAGCCAUGCCGCGUGUGUGAUGAAGGUCUUAGGAUCGUAAAGCACUUUCGCCAGGGAUGAUAAUGACAGUACCUGGUAAAGAAACCCCGGCUAACUCCGUGCCAGCAGCCGCGGUAAUACGGAGGGGGUUAGCGUUGUUCGGAAUUACUGGGCGUAAAGCGCGCGUAGGCGGAUUGGAAAGUUGGGGGUGAAAUCCCGGGGCUCAACCCCGGAACUGCCUCCAAAACUAUCAGUCUAGAGUUCGAGAGGGGUGAGUGGAAUUCCAAGUGUAGAGGUGAAAUUCGUAGAUAUUUGGAGGAACACCAGUGGCGAAGGCGGCUCACUGGCUCGAUACUGACGCUGAGGUGCGAAAGUGUGGGGAGCAAACAGGAUUAGAUACCCUGGUAGUCCACACCGUAAACGAUGAAUGCCAGUCGUCGGGCAGUAUACUGUUCGGUGACACACCUAACGGAUUAAGCAUUCCGCCUGGGGAGUACGGUCGCAAGAUUAAAACUCAAAUGAAUUGACGGGGGCCCGCACAAGCGGUGGAGCAUGUGGUUUAAUUCGAUGCAACGCGAAGAACCUUACCUACUCUUGACAUCCUGCGAAUUUGGUAGAGAUACCUUAGUGCCUUCGGGAACGCAGAGACAGGUGCUGCAUGGCUGUCGUCAGCUCGUGUUGUGAAAUGUUGGGUUAAGUCCCGUAACGAGCGCAACCCUUGUCCUUAUUUGCCAGCGCGUAAUGGCGGGAACUCUAAGGAGACUGCCGGUGACAAACCGGAGGAAGGUGGGGACGACGUCAGGUCAUCAUGGCCCUUACGAGUAGGGCUACACACGUGCUACAAUGGUCGGUACAAAGGGUUGCCAACUCGCGAGAGUGAGCCAAUCCCGAAAAGCCGAUCUCAGUCCGGAUCGGAGUCUGCAACUCGACUCCGUGAAGUCGGAAUCGCUAGUAAUCGUGGAUCAGAAUGCCACGGUGAAUACGUUCCCGGGCCUUGUACACACCGCCCGUCACACCAUGGGAGUGGACUGCACCAGAAGUGGUUAGCCUAACGCAAGAGGGCGAUCACCACGGUGUGGUUCAUGACUGGGGUGAAGUCGUAACAAGGUAACCA
rnacentral:rRNA from 1 species